CCUACGGGCGGCAGCAGUGAGGAAUAUUGGUCAAUGGACGAGAGUCUGAACCAGCCAAGUCGCGUGAAGGAUGACUGCCCUAUGGGUUGUAAACUUCUUUUAUAUGGGAAUAAAAUGUUCCACGUGUGGGAUUUUGUAUGUACCAUAUGAAUAAGGAUCGGCUAACUCCGUGCCAGCAGCCGCGGUAAUACGGAGGAUCCUAGCGUUAUCCGGAUUUAUUGGGUUUAAAGGGAGCGUAGGUGGUUUGUUAAGUCAGUUGUGAAAGUUUGCGGCUCAACCGUAAAAUUGCAGUUGAAACUGGCAGUCUUGAGUACAGUAGAGGUGGGCGGAAUUCGUGGUGUAGCGGUGAAAUGCUUAGAUAUCACGAAGAACUCCGAUUGCGAAGGCAGUUCACUGGACUGCAACUGACACUGAGGCUCGAAAGUGUGGGUAUCAAACAGGAUUAGAUACCCGGGUAGUC
rnacentral:rRNA from 1 species